UGCCAGCCGCCGCGGUAAUACGAAGGGUGCAAGCGUUGUUCGGAUUUAUUGGGCGUAAAGCGUACGUAGGCGGUUUUGUAAGUCAGGUGUGAAAUCUUGGGGCUCAACCCCGAAACUGCGCCUGAAACUACAUAACUAGAAUCUCGGAGGGGAAGGUAGAAUUUCGCAUGUAGGGGUAAAAUCCGUAGAGAUGCGAAGGAACACCAGAGGCGAAGGCGACCUUCUGGACGAGUAUUGACGCUGAGGUACGAAAGCGUGGGGAGCAAACAGGAUUAGAUA
rnacentral:rRNA from 1 species